CGCACAUUGCGCCCCGUGGUAUUCCGCGGGGCAUGCCUGUUCGAGCGUCAUUAUACCAAUCAAGCCUGGCUUGGUGUUGGAGUCCGCUAACUCGCGGCUCUUAAAUGCAACGGCAGUCUAAGCAGGACCCUAAGCGUAGUAAUCGCUCUCGCUUCUGGGUCCUGUGGUGCCUCGCCGACCACUACUUCUCACAAUUGACCUCGGAUCAGGUAGGGAUACCCGCUGAACUUAA
rnacentral:misc_RNA from 1 species